GCCUGUAUGGAAAAAUCGAUUUUCUCAUGCGGGCUCUUAACUGGUCCGCAUACAAAGAUGAGCUCAUUUUUACAUGCGGACCUCUUAAGAGGCUCGCAUGGGAAAAUCGAUUUUUCCAUACGGGC
rnacentral:pre_miRNA from 13 species